AUUGAACGCUGGCGGCAGGCCUAACACAUGCAAGUCGAGCGAGCGGCGGACGGGUGAGUAAUGUCUGGGAAACUGCCUGAUGGAGGGGGAUAACUACUGGAAACGGUAGCUAAUACCGCAUACCAUCAGAUGUGCCCAGAUGGGAUUAGCUAGUUGGUGGGGUAAAGGCCUACCAAGGCGACGAUCUGUAGCGGGUCUGAGAGGAUGACCAGCCACACUGGAACUGAGACACGGUCCAGAAUCCUACGGGAGGCAGCAGUGGGGAAUAUUGCACAAUGGGCGAAAGCCUGAUGCAGCCAUGCCGCGGGUGUGAAGAAGGCCUUCGGGUUGAAAAGCACUUUCAGCGGGGAGGCUUUACCCGCAGAAGAAGCACCGGCUAACUCCGUGCCAGCAGCCGCGGUAAUUC
rnacentral:rRNA from 1 species